CAGCAGCCGCGGGAAUACGGAGGGGGCUAGCGUUGUUCGGAAUUACUGGGCGUAAAGCGCACGUAGGCGGCUUGGUAAGUUAGAGGUGAAAGCCCGGAGCUCAACUCCGGAAUUGCCUUUAAGACUGCCGAGCUAGUAGGUGAGAGAGGUAAGUGGAAUUCCGAGUGUAGAGGUGAAAUGCGUAGAUAUGCGGAGGAACACCGAUGGCGAAGGCAGCCCCCUGGGCCAACACUGACGCUCAUGCACGAAAGCGUGGGGAGCAAACAGGAUUAGAUACCCGCGUAGUCCCUGUCUCUUAUAC
rnacentral:rRNA from 1 species